rnacentral:ncRNA from 1 species
AUUAAAAGGCAAACUUGCCGAAAGGCAGGGACGCAAAGCUAAAGGGCCUUCCUCUUAACAUGAGAUGGCAGCCAGUUGC